rnacentral:tRNA from 1 species
GCCAGGAUGGCGAAAUUGGCAGUCGCGCCAGACUUAGGAUCUGGUGGAGCAAUCCGUGCAGGUUCGAGUCCUGUUCCUGGCACCA